AUGUGUUUGCACGAGAAGGUGUGCGCAGGCGUCUACGUGCACGGGCACAUGUGUGUGUGCAUCCGUGCAAGUGCCUAUGCAUGUGCGGGGUUUGCAGGCCCGCACGUGUGCAUGCGUGUGCAUAUGUGUGUGCACGCGUGUUCCUGCACCUGCUCCAUUGCCCCGCAGCCCGCUGGGGACAGCCCCCGCAGUCCCUGUCCAGGGCCGGCGUCACCGUGGGCCUCGGCCUUUCUGGAGUCCGGGAGCCCCGCACACCCAGAGGCAGGCAGCCCUGUGGACGGGAGGUGCCUCGGCCGAGUCACUGACCCUCUGGGGACCCGUUUUCUCUCUGCUUGGAGGCCAAGCGGGAACGGGACCCGGUGCUGGCGGGGCAGGGACUCCGACACCGACCCUGAGCUGACAGCAGGACGGGGUCCCAGGCCUGACCCCGGGGCCUGGAGCCCCAUCCGCAGAAGUCAGGGGCCGCCUUGGUGGCAGGACCGGGCCCCCGAUCCCGGGACCUCCUCCUGCCUAAACCAGCAGCCGCAGCUGCCAGGCCGCUCACGCGUUGUCGCUUUGUUUUACUGUUCUGGUCGGGGCGGAGAGAACUCGAGGUGCAGGAAAACCAGGAGUCGGACCGACGUGGGGCCGUCGGGGUCGGAGGCGAGGCCGUGGGCUGCAGCUGCUGCCGCGGGAAAGAGCACAGGCAUGGCCUCGGCGCUCGGACGCCUCCCUGGGCCCAGAGGCCGCCCCUGACCCUCCCGGCCUCCUGGACGUGUCUGGCCUCCACUCUUCGCUCUAGUGAGGGAUGAGGGCCCGGGGCCCCCAGGACAACCCCCUCGGCUCGAGAGCCUCACUCAUCCAACCAGCAAAGAUACCGUCUCCUUCAAAGGUCCUUUUUCGGGCCUCCGCAGGCAGAGGACAAGGGCGUCCCCUACGCGCCCUGCUGCUGGCAGGUCGAGGCCCUCGCAGCAGAGGGAAGGGGGUGAUCGGGAGGGGAGGGGCUGGGCUGGAGGGGGGUAUGCUGGUGUGGGGGGUCACCACGCAAGGUUACAGGGACGGAAGCGCAGCCAGAUCCCCGGCCAGGCCCUGCCCGCCACCCUCACGGCCAAGUGCUGUCCGCAGGCGACGGCAGGGCCACCAGGUCCUGAGAGCCAGGCCCCUGCGGAGCCGCCCGCGCUGGCCCCGGGGCCCUUGCACGGCACAUCACGCCCCCCCGCCCGAUGCGCGUCGGAUGCUGGACAGCUCAGUGUUGCAAUUCUCCAGCAAUGUUUACUGGAGUGUCUUUCCGUUCCCCGGGCGCACUGUAAACACGCCGGGCCUGGCCCUCAGCUGGCUGCGUAAUUGUGGUUUCGGAGCAGGGUUCCAAGGACGCGCUCGGGGCCCGUGGUUAUCCAGGCCGGCGUCGGGAUCCGCGCCGAGGGGAGAUUGGCAGGUCCCGGGGCCCCGUCCCCUGCCCGCCCUGGCAGCUGGAGCACAUUCCUUCCUGCUGGCCUGAUCGCAUCUGGGAUCCCACCCGUGGAAGCUGGGACCGACUCCACCCCUUGGGGCCCUCGGGGCAGAGCAGGACGGGGGGGGGGGGGGGGGGGUCAGGGUGCAGACAGGCGGGGCGACAUCAGGCCUCCUGAUUUCACUGGGAUCGCCGCUCCGCCAGGGCCGGUGGGCCGUGUGUGUGUGCGUGUGUGUGCGUGUGCAAAUGUCCUUAGGGAUUACACACCCCUCACAUUCCAUGAAGAACACUCCAUCCCUGUGUGUACCUGCCAUGUGUUCCUGCACAUCUGUGCAUGGGUGUUACUGUGUUACUGUGUGUGUGUGCGCGUGUGCUCUUGGUCGUAUUUGAGCACGUGUGUGUGCUGUUGUGUGUCUAUGAGUGUACAUGCAUGUUCUUGGUGUGUAUUUGAGCACACGUGUGCAUGCAUGCGCCGGUGUGUGCGUGUGCUCUUGGUCAUGCUUGAGCACGUGUGUCUAUGGGUGUACAUGCAUGUUCUUAGUAUGUGCUUGAGCACACGUGUGUGCAUGUGCCACUGUGUCUCUACACGCAUGUGUGUGCAUGUGUGCCUAUGAGCACACGUGUCCUUGGUGCAUGGGAGCAUGUGUGGUGCCACAUAUCUGUGUGUACACGCAUGUGUUCCUGGCAUGUGCCAUGGUCGUGUGCGUGUUACCUGGUCCCACCUCUGCUCUCUGAUCCUGCCCAGACCAGGUGUGUGCGUCCUGACCCGCAGGGUGAUGAAGGCGGCCGUGCUGCGGCCCGUGCUCAGGUCAGCAGGGUGUCAGGGCCCCUGUGCCAUGGGCCGGGGCUGGGGGGCUGGGGGGCCGGGGGCCCUCGGCCCAGACGCCUCCUCCGGAAUGAAUGGCAAAUGUCAAACGCAGCCCCAAGGGAAAUGGUUCCCACACCUAAUCAUGUCCCGAGAGAGGUCGGGAGGGGGCCGGGGCCACGUGACGGGCGAGAACAAGGCUCCUUUGUGUGCUCGGGCAGCUGUGGCUACCCUGCGCAGCUCAAUGGGCCGGCUGUCUGGCCGCCUGGCCGGCCUCGGGGACCAGAGUGCCCUACUUGUCCCCCCAGUGUCUGGGGCCUCCCGUCACCCCAAGCCCUGUCCCUGGACCUGCCAGGAGUGGGGGCCACUGGCUAUGGCACAUUUCCGGGCCAAGAAAUUCAUAAAUAUGGUGAUGUCUGGUGUUUGCUCAGAGCUGCUAGAACAAUCAGAAGUGGACAAUUUUAAUUUGCUUUGAGGUGAGGGGCCAAGCCCCAGGGUCUCAGGUGGAAGAGCAGCCUGGGAUCCCCGGGGGCCCGACGCCCGUGGAGCUCGGCCUGUGGCCGGUGACCUGCAACCCUCGGAGCCAGGGAGGCCCCCAGCCUCCUUGCCCCACUCCCCUGCUGCCCCCCGAGACCCAACCAGACCCGACCGGGGGGCUGCCCAGGGACCGUGAGCUCCCCCACCUUCAGGGACCUCUGCCUCGGGGCCCAGGUUCUCCCACGCAGCAGGGAGAGACCGUGGACAUCGGGGCCUGGGGGGUGGCUGGGGCAGGAAGACAGCCUGCAGGGCGGGGGCCACAGACGGGCCGGGCGGGGGUGGAGGGGCCCGGAGGGCGGGGGGCGGGCUGGUGCUGAGGGAAUCCAAGUGAGCGGAGGCCACGCAGGCAGCAGGGGCCGGGGCAGGCAGGGCUUGCGGGUGGGGCAGGUGCACGGGGACAGACCCGGCCUGGCGGGCUCCGGCCGGGCAGCUUCGAGCAUCAGCAGAAAGCCUGUAAGGAUGGAACAGACGGCGGCCCCUCGCUCGAAAUGGGCACCAGGAGUCUGCUGACGUCAGUAAAUUCAAUUCAUAGAUUGCGGGGGGGGGGGGGGGGGGUCUUCCUUACAGGGAAAUUCCAGCUAAUAAAUGAUGGAAGUAGAAAACCA
rnacentral:lncRNA from 12 species